ensembl:lncRNA
AAAGUUAUCAUUGCUGUUCAGUCCUCACGACUUAUUUAGAAGGAGGCUUCAAAAUGCUGUUCCACAAGGUCCUCAACGUCUCCUGAAUACAUUGUGUCUGGGACAAUGUACUCCUCAUAAUCGACCCCCAGAAGCACGAUCACGCCCAUUCCGGAAGACACUCCGAUCACCUCCACCGUCUCCUCAAUGAGCCGCCUUUCUGAAACCUGUGUUUUUACAGUGUUUGGGCGGAGGUGGGUCAGCUCCACAGUGUCUCCAUUUAACACCUCGAUAAGAGCCUCAUCUCUCCACAGAGAAACCUCAACUGCUCUUGAGUUGCAGUUUAGCUUAAAGUCCAGGACGGGCACUUUACCAAAUUGCACCUGUGCCAUCCUCACCUCCUGCAACUACAAAUCACAUACCAGAGGAGACUGACGUACCCAUCUUCUGAAGGGUCCACUUUGUCCACGGAGACCAGAGGGGAAUGUGGAACAAGGAUCUCUCUGGCCCUUCUCUCCUGAUCUUCAUUGUUUAAUCAGUGGGUCACAGUUGUUCCUGCUAUACUCACCAUUCUUCGAUGAAAUGCUACUGCCUUUCUUGUGACACGUGUGGCAACGCAUUUACAUUUCAGUGGCUCCGGACGGCUGUAUGGACUGCAUGUUGCCAUUGUGAUGCUAAGAACAAAUACACAGAAAGGGUGCACAUUUGGCGGGUGAGCACAUCUUUUGGACAUGUGACUAAUGAGCUGUCAAUCAUUCUGGAUUCAUCCGGUCCGGCGGUCCUUCCUUCAGAUCAUUGCAUCCUCUGCUGUUGUGUUGUCCUCCUUCCUCCUCCCUACUGCCAAGUGGUCAUCAGAACUUUCUUUUAAAGGGUUGAGGCUGCGUUGGCUGUCUAUGCAACCACCCGAAAAUACUUGAAACCACAAAAAAACUCUUUGAAAACCAAAAACUCUUUGAAAAACCUGACUGUGAAAAACCUGACUGUGAAAAACCUGACUGUGAAAAACCUGACUGUGAAAAACCUGAACAUCAAACCCAGGUGAGAAUAGUGAACUACACAUUCAGAAAGAGUGAAGAAAUUUCCAGAUUUCACAACGUUGGAAUAUCAACUCUUUUAAAGUACACAAUCACUUUUUGAUUAACUUCACACUAAUUAAUUUACUGUUGUCUUGUUAUAUAUCAAAUAUUUAACUUUUGUAUAUCUACAUAAAAAGCAGUAUCUGUGUUCUAUUUAAAGUAUAAGUGAACAUCAAUAU